rnacentral:rRNA from 1 species
CCUACGGGUGGCAGCAGUGAGGAAUAUUGGUCAAUGGACGAAAGUCUGAACCAGCCAAGCAGCGUGAAGGAUGACGGCCCUAUGGGUUGUAAACUUCUUUUAUAUGAGAAUAAAAUGUUACACGUGUGGUCUUUUGUAUGUACCGUAUGAAUAAGGAUCGGCUAACUCCGUGCCAGCAGCCGCGGUAAUACGGAGGAUCCGAGCGUUAUCCGGAUUUAUUGGGUUUAAAGGGAGCGUAGGUGGAUUGUUAAGUCAGAUGUGAAAGGUUGGGGCUCAACCCUAGAACUGCAUUUGAUACUGGCAGUCUAGAGUAUAGUAGAGGUAGGCGGAAUGCGUGGUGUAGCGGUGAAAUGCUUAGAGAUCAUACAGAACACCGAUUGCGAAGGCAACUUAC